UUUGCCAGAUUCAUUAACUAAUCUCCGAUUAAAACUGAGCAAAAUUAAUUCUUUCCCGGUAUCGAUUUCAUACUCCCUCCAAAAUAAGUCUAGAUAACGAUUCUCCUAAAUCAAGCAACUAAUUUCCGAGGAAAACUGAGGUUUUAGUUUGGCGGGAGGCUUCGCGCUAAUUUUUUUUGGGUUUCGAAUUUCAUCCAAAAUUCAGGCUAUAUAAACCCAGAGGCAUCGAUGGAACAUUCCAUCUCAUCUUCUCAGAAACUUAUUUCUUCAAAAUCCUAAGUUUGUCCUAUUUCAAAUGGCGCCCCAAAUCACUGCUUCCACGGAAUCAACUACCAAAAAAUGAAAUACAAGGGGAAUAAGUCGGAGAGUCGGGCUUGAGAGACUACAAGCGAUGACGAAGGACCGAAAAUUGGCCGUGAAGUUUAAAGAGUCUGCAGGUGUGGCGGUGUGCUUCAACAGAAGAAAACUGGCCACAGAAUAUGGGGUCAUUGUCAGGUCUUUUUCUCCCUUGGAAUACAAAUCAUGGAAAAAUAUUCCAUUGCAUGACAGAGAAGCCUUAAUGGAAAGGGUUAAGGACAAGUUCUGGGUGGACCUCAGCGUCCCCUUUUUCUGGGAUUUCCUACACCGAUCAAUGGGCAAAAAGUACAACAGUCAUAGGAGUUUGAUGUCCUCCUAUUUUAAGAGAUUGUUCGAUUCCUCUCAUUCCAUUGAGAAAUUAAAGAUAAGCCAUACAAAGAUGUGCCCCAGGAUAAGUGGGAGUGGCUUUGCAACCACUUCUCUUCACCUGAAUUUAAGAAACGGUCGUUAGCUGGAUCCGCAAACAGGGAAAAGGUUCAGUACAACCAUUGCAGUGGUUCCAUGGCAUUUGUUGUGCGUCAUGAGCAGAGGAUGGAAUCGGGAAAUUAUUCCCCUAUCCAAGUGUUCCAUGACACACACACUCGCGUGAUUGAUAAAACGACUAACAAUCGAAUCUGGCUAAGCGACGAGGCACGCAGCCGAUAUGAUCAAAUGCUCGCUCUCAAAGAACAAAGCAUGGAAGAAGGAUCAGAACCUAGAGAUGAAGACGACAUCUGUGCUAAGGUCCUUAAAAAGAAAAAAACAAGAAGGCAUGUAUUUGUUCUGCAGUCAAAUCAAGAAACUGAAGAACUGCGUGAGAAAGUACGAAAACAAGAAGAAGAAAUUCGGAAAAUGAAAGAAAACCAGGCAUUAUUCCAACAGGAUGUGCUUAAUCGUUUAGGACUUAAUGUCAUAGUUACGGACACUCAUGAUCAGUAGUCUAAGUUAAAUUUGGUUUUACUGUUUUAGUUCGUCACUUGCGAGACUCAUGCUCAACAGUUUAAGUUAGUUUCUUUCUUUUAUUUUGUUGGUUUGGUAUAUGUGUUCAAUUAGUUUGGUUUUGUUUAUUCUUUGUAUUACUUUUCAUUCUAUGAGCAA